UGAGUAAUACAUCGGAACGUGCCUAGUAGUGGGGGAUAACUACUCGAAAGAGUAGCUAAUACCGCAUGAUAUCUACGGAUGAAAGCAGGGGACCUUCGGGCCUUGUGCUACUAGAGCGGCUGAUGGCAGAUUAGGUAGUUGGUGGGGUAAAGGCUUACCAAGCCCGUGAUCUGUAGCUGGUCUGAGAGGACGACCAGCCACACUGGGACUGAGACACGGCCCAGACUCCUACGGGAGGCAGCAGUGGGGAAUUUUGGACAAUGGGCGAAAGCCUGAUCCAGCAAUGCCGCGUGCAGGAUGAAGGCCCUCGGGUUGUAAACUGCUUUUGUACGGAACGAAAAGCCUGAGGCUAAUAUCCUCGGGUCAUGACGGUACCGUAAGAAUAAGCACCGGCUAACUACGUGCCAGCAGCCGCGGUAAUACGUAGGGUGCAAGCGUUAAUCGGAAUUACUGGGCGUAAAGCGUGCGCAGGCGGUUUUGUAAGACAGUGGUGAA
rnacentral:rRNA from 1 species